rnacentral:rRNA from 1 species
UCUGGUUGAUCCUGCCAGAAGUCAUAUGCUUGUCUUAAAGAUUAAGCCAUGCAUGUCUAAGUAUAAAUAGUAUACAGUGAAACUGCGAAUGGCUCAUUAAAACAGUUAUAGUUUAUUUGAUAGUGCACAUUACAUGGAUAACCGUGGUAAUUCUAGAGCUAAUACAUGCGCAAAUACCUGACUCACGAAAGGUAGCAUUUAUUAGAUUUAACCAUCAUAUGGUGAAUCAUAGUAACUUGGCGGACCGCGCUCCGGCGUGGUAAAUCAUUCAAGUUUCUGCCCUAUCAGCUUUCGAUGGUAGUGUAUUGGACUACCAUGGCAGUCACGGGUAACGGAGAAUUAGGGUUCGAUUCCGGAGAGGGAGCCUGAGAAACGGCUACCACAUCUAAGGAAGGCAGCAGGCGCGUAAAUUACCCAAUCCCAAUUCGGGGAGGUAGUGACAAGAAAUAACAACCUGAGUGGUUCGCCACUUCGGGAUUGCAAUGAGAUAAGUCUAAAUCCGUAAGCGAUUACCAAUUGGAGGGCAAGUCUGGUGCCAGCAGCCGCGGUAAUUCCAGCUCCAAUAGCGUAUACUUAAGUUGUUGCAGUUAAAAAGCUCGUAGUUGAAAAUCGAAUCAGCUUCAUUAUGGCUUCGGUCAUACUUGUUAGCUGGUUCUCCGUCUACAAACCUUUUUGCUCUUUUACGAGUGCAGCUUGGAGAGUAGACAAUUUACCUUGAAAAAAUUAGAGUGUUCCAGGCAGGUCUUCGCCGGAAUACAUUAGCAUGGAAUAAUGGAAUAGGACUAUGGUCUUUUGUUGGUUUUAGGGCCAGUGUAAUGAUUAAUAGGGACAGAUGGGGGCAUUAGUAUUUAAUUGUCAGAGGUGAAAUUCUUGGAUUUAUUAAAGACUAACUUAUGCGAAAGCAUUUGCCAAGGAUGUUUUCAUUAAUCAAGAACGAAAGUUAGGGGAUCAAAGACGAUCAGAUACCGUCGUAGUCUUAACUAUAAACUAUACCGACUCGAGAUCGGAAGGUGCUCAAUAAGGCCCUUUCGGCAUCGUAAGAGAAAUCAAAGUCUUUGGGUUCUGGGGGGAGUAUGGUCGCAAGGCUGAAACUUAAAGGAAUUGACGGAAGGGCACCACCAGGAGUGGAGCCUGCGGCUUAAUUUGACUCAACACGGGGAAACUUACCAGGUCAAAACAUGGAUGGGAUUGACAGAUUGAAAGCUCUUUCUUGAUUCUAUGGGUGGUGGUGCAUGGCCGUUCUUAGUUGGUGGAGUGAUUUGUCUGGUUAAUUCCGAUAACGAACGAGACCUUAACCUGCUAACUAGUUUGUACCUAAAAAAGGUAUAUAUCUUCUUAGAGGGACUAUGUAUGUUAAAUGCAUGGAAGUUUAAGGCAAUAACAGGUCUGUGAUGCCCCUAGAUGUCCUGGGCCGCACGCGCGCUACACUGACACGUUCAGCGAGUUUAAUCUCCUAUCUCGAAAGGGUAUGGGAAAUCUUGUUAGGACGUGUCGUGCUGGGGAUAGAUCUUUGCAAUUAUAGAUCUUGAACGAGGAAUUCCUUGUAAGCACAGGUCAUCAGCCUGUGCUGAAUACGUCCCUGCCCUUUGUACACACCGCCCGUCGCUCCUACCGAUUUCGAGUGAUGUGGUGAACUAUCUGGACUGUGGACGGGCUUGAACCGUUCGCGGGAAGUUUCGUAAACCUUAUCACUUAGAGGAAGGAGAAGUCGUAACAAGGUUUCCGUAGGUGAACCUGCAGAAGGAUCA